GACAGAGGCCUCAAGCGUUAGGCGGAAUCACUGGGCUUAAAGCGUGUGUAGGCGGAUCGUUAAGUGCCUUGUGAAAUCCCACGGCUUAACUGUGGAACGGCUGGGCAUACUGGCGGUCUUGAGCCAUCUAGGGGCGACUGGAACAAACGGUGGAGCGGUGAAAUGCGUAGAUAUCGUUUGGAACGCCAAGUGGUGAAAACAGGUCGCUGGGGAUGAGCUGACGCCUGAGACACGGAAAGCCAGGGGAGCAAAACGGG
rnacentral:rRNA from 1 species